rnacentral:lncRNA from 1 species
UGGGAAUAUCAUUAUUAAAAAAGUUGAAAAGUGAUUUGCUGAGAAGUAACCCUACGAGCCUGUGUAGGGUAAUAACUUCAUUUAGAAAUGAGGAAUGUCCAAGAUAUACACGAAUGACCUUGGAUCUUGUUAUUUUAUAUUUGAUUUUUGUAUAAUGUCCCACUUUAGGUGGGAAUUCCAUGCAUGGGAUAAUGCAUGGGAUGUAUGCAAGUAUGCAAUUUUGCU